rnacentral:rRNA from 1 species
AGGACGAACGCUGGCGGCGUGCUUAACACAUGCAAGUCACGGGGGCCCGCAAGGGUAACCGGCGAACGGGUGCGUAACACGUGAGCAACCUGCCUAGAUGUGGGGGAUAGCCGGCCCAACGGCCGGGUAAUACCGCAUACGGUCACGAGGAGGAGUCUCCUUGUGAAGAAACCUCCGGGGCAUUUAGAGGGGCUCGCGGCCUAUCAGCUAGUUGGCGGGGUAACGGCCCACCAAGCCUUCGAUCAGUAACUGGUGUGAGAGCACGACCAGUCACACGGGCACUGAGACACGGGCCCGACUCCUACGGGAGGCAGCAGUAAGGAUAUUGGUCAAUGGACGCAAGUCUGAACCAGCCAUGCCGCGUGAAGGAUGAAGGCCCUCUGGGUUGUAAACUUCUUUUAUCUGGGACGAAAAAGGGUUUUCUAACUCACUUGACGGUACCAGAGGAAUAAGCACCGGCUAACUCCGUGCCAGCAGCCGC